UACGUAGGGUGCGAGCGUUGUCCGGAAUUAUUGGGCGUAAAGAGCUCGUAGGCGGUGUGUCACGUCGGCCGUGAAAACCUGCAGCUUAACUGUGGGCGUGCGGUCGAUACGGGCAUCACUGGAGUUCGGCAGGGGAGACUGGAAUUCCUGGUGUAGCGGUGAAAUGCGCAGAUAUCAGGAGGAACACCUGCGGCGAAGGCGGGUUGCUGGGCUGAUACUGACGCUGAGGCGCGAAAGCCAGGGGAGCGAACGGG
rnacentral:rRNA from 1 species